rnacentral:tRNA from 1 species
AAUUUUGUGGCGUUGUUGGUAACGCACCAAUCUAGCGAAUUGCGAGUGUGAGUUCGAUUCUCACCGAAAUAU